UACCUCGGUUGGUUCAAGUGGUAAUUUGAGUUUCUGCAGUUUUUCUGUCAAGUUAAAAAACAAAAAACAUUUUGUUCUAAAAUUUUGCCUCAAUAAGGACUUUAGUCCAGACAACUUCCCUUUAUUCCAAAAGCAGCUCCAUUCUGAUCACUCUGAUGAUUGAAACAUGUUUCCAUAUUUCCAAAAAGACUCUAAACAACAGAUGUUGACUGCAGCGUAAACAACAGAUGGCAGAGUUCACAUGAAGUCCAUAGCUGAGAAAGAGAAUCCACACUCCAGCUGAGGAAAGUGAGGCCAAACCUAAAGUGUUUAUGUUACCAGUUGUCCUCAGGUUAACGUCGUCUGGUCUCGCUCUAUGAGUUCUCACCUUCAAAUUAAAUUCAGCUUAGCUAACGGAGAACAAACCAGGCGUUUCUUCUGCGCCCGAUCAGGUAUGUGGCGCUCCUGAAACUCAAUACUCUUUGUAUGAUUUGAGUGAGUUAUAUCUUAUAAAAGUGGAGUUUAGUAGAGCAACAAAUGGAAGACCUUGUAUGACCUCUUUAUUAAUGACAGCCCUGUAAAGAAAAAGAUCUCGAAUGCAUUUUUUCACCUUCACCAAUCUGUGGUGUCAGAGGAAAAAAAAUAUUUGAUGAAAGGAAUAUGUUGGUCUCUAGUUUCAAGAGGAGAUGGACAAAAAAUGUAUUUUUCAGUCUGAAGAAUUGAAAAUCAAAUCCAGGAUAAUCUGAAAGCUGCCAACACCCUGACACUUUUUCUAUUUUAGAGAUUAUACAUUUAAAGAAAUGGGUUUGGAGGAGGGUCUGCAUCCCUGUGAUCCAUUAUCUUCUCCUCGCCGCUCCUGCUCUCUUUUGUCUCUCAAGCAGUCACUCUUACUAUGUUAAGACAAAGCACAACGAGGGCUAAUCGCACAGGAAAAACACGCGGAAUUCCUCCCACGCUGGACCGGUCACAUGGUCAUCGGGAGUGUCCCUGCUCUGCAGAGGAACGAGCCACCCAGAUGCAGAACGCAACAAUGGCGUUUAAAGGUACCCCCCCACUGCUCAGCUGCCAGUAUAAAGCACCUUUUCAUUAAGCACUUAUUGUUUAAGCCUUUAGAGGUGGAGAUAUAUGUGCAACACAGAAGGAAAUGCUUGAAAACAAUGGAGGUGAAGCAAAAGAAGUCUGAUCAAUGUUUUUUCAUAUGACCAAAAUAUAU